GGAACAGUAGAAAUCAUUUAGGGUUCUCCAUCCGCUCCCUUUCUCCUAUCCUGGAGACAUCCAUACUCACAGAAGCUGUCAACUUAUUUAUAUGUCCCUUAUUCUGAAGAGUAUUCAAGACACUGGAUAACUGGGUAAAAAGAUUUAGUACCUGACAUGGAACAACUGUGAUCAUUGUAAAUGACAUUUUCCACAUUCCAGAAUAUGAAGAGUCCAAGUUGUCCCUAUUUUGAAACUGAGUCAAAGAGCCAAUGAAAUAUUCAGAAAGUCAACUUUUGGCAAUAAAAUCUUCCUGGAGUAAAAUCAGGGGUUAAAUAUAACCAUGAGUAGAGCCUAUUUUCUCACUCUAAAGAUAGUUUUCAUAACCAAACACUUUGCACAUGGACCUCCUUUUUACUUUUUGCAUUAAAUACAUACUAUGCCUCCAACUUGUGAUCCUCCUGCCUCAGCCUCUCAAGUAGCUAGAAUUACAGGCGUGUACCACCUCACCGGCUUGCAUUUCAUCUUUUAAGAAACACCCUUACUUCAUCCUGCUACAAUUUAAACACCAAUUUUAGUGUAUCAUUUCAUGAUUUCUAAUAAAUUGACAGAGUUGUGCAGCCAUCCCCACAAUCUAGUUUUAAAACAUUUCCCUCAUCCUAGAGAGAUUCCUCAUGCCACUUCCUGUUACCAUCCAUCCCCAGCCCUAGAC
rnacentral:lncRNA from 1 species